rnacentral:rRNA from 1 species
AAGGGGUUGUAGCUGGCCUUUUUCAGGCAUGUGCACGCCCUGCUUCAUCCAUCUCUCACCUGUGCAUCUUUUGUAGGUUGGUCUUCAAUUGGCCUCUCCGGAGGUCGGUUUGGACCUUCCUAUGUUUUUAUCACACUUACCCUGUCAGUAUCAGAAUGUCAUCGCGUAUAACGCAUUUUAUAUACAACUUUCAGCAACGGAUCUCUUGGCUCUCGCAUCGAUGAAGAACGCAGCGAAAUGCGAUAAGUAAUGUGAAUUGCAGAAUUCAGUGAAUCAUCGAAUCUUUGAACGCACCUUGCGCUCCUUGGUAUUCCGAGGAGCAUGCCUGUUUGAGUGUCAUGGAAUUCUCAACUCAUCUUGCUUUUUAUUUGUGAGAUGGUGUUGGAUUUGGAGGUUUAUUGCUGUCGUCAUUUACUUGAUGAUGGCUCCUCUCAAUUGCAUUAGCUGGAACCUUUGUGGAUCGGCUCUUCAGUGUGAUAAUUGUCUACGCUGUGGAGUUGUGAGACGRUUUGCGUCUUUUUGACGUGAGGUUUCGCUUCUAGUCGUCCUUUUACCGGGACAAUUUCUUUGACCUUCUGACCUCAAAUCAGGUAGGAUUACCCGCUGAACUUAAGCAUAUCAAUAAGCGGAGGAAAAGAAACUAACAAGGAUUCCCCUAGUAACUGCGAGUGAAGCGGGAAAAGCUCAAAUUUAAAAUCUGGCGGUCUUUGGUCGUCCGAGUUGUAGUCUGGAGAAGUGCUUUCCGCGCUGGACCGUGUACAAGUCUCUUGGAACAGAGCGUCAUAGAGGGUGAGAAUCCCGUCUUUGACACGGACUACCAGUCGCUUUGUGAUGCGCUCUCAAAGAGUCGAGUUGUUUGGGAAUGCAGCUCAAAAUGGGUGGUGAAUUCCAUCUAAAGCUAAAUAUUGGCGAGAGACCGAUAGCGAACAAGUACCGUGAGGGAAAGAUGAAAAGCACUUUGGAAAGAGAGUUAAACAGUACGUGAAAUUGCUGAAAGGGAAACGCUUGAAGUCAGUCGCGUUGGCCAGAACUCAGCCUUGCUCUUUUGCUUGGUGCAUUUUCUGGUUGACGGGUCAGCAUCAGUUUUGAUCGUUGGAGAAAGGCCAGAGGAAUGUGGCACCUCCGGGUGUGUUAAAGCCUCUGGUCACAUACGACGAUUGGGACUGAGGGUCUCAGCACGCCUAUAUGGCCGGGGUUUGCCCACGUUCGUGCUUAGGAUGCUGGCAUAAUGGCUUUAAGCGACCCGUCUUGAAACACGGACCAAGGAGUCUAACAUACCUGCGAGUGUUUGGGUGGAAAACCCGAGCGCGUAAUGAAAGUGAAAGUUGAGAUCCCUGUCGUGGGGAGCAUCGACGCCCGGACCUGACGUUCUCUGACGGCUCCGCGGUAGAGCAUGUAUGCUGGGACCCGAAAGAUGGUGAACUAUGCCUGAAUAGGGUGAAGCCAGAGGAAACUCUGGUGGAGGCUCGUAGCGAUUCUGACGUGCAAAUCGAUCGUCAAAUUUGGGUAUAGGGGCGAAAGACUAAUCGAACCAUCUAGUAGCUGGU